rnacentral:lncRNA from 1 species
CCUUAUGCUAAUAAAGGUUAGCUUGAUUAGUCAAUGGCGUCUUCAAAAGUAUUCUCAAUAAAUGUCUAUUUUCUGGUUUAUUUUCAUGCAUAAGGCACACUGAAUUAUAAGGCUCAUUUUAAGGGACAAUAUAAGAAACUUCAAACUCAGCAGGUCUCGCCACUUGGUGGUGGUAGUGGGUAGCUAACUAAGUUAAGUGAAGCUAAGCUAAGCAAACAAAACUUAAAAAAAAGACAGUCAUACUGAGCACUGGAUGUUAACCUACACGGAUUUCUCUCCUGAAAACUGUUUAUGUGGAAACCAGUACCUCUCUUUCCUACCGAUCCUCCUCCUCUCCUCCUCUGGUGCCAUCUUGCCGCCUGUCUGAAUACUGGAAAAGACAAAAGAACCCUAAAAUCCUCCCUGAAGAGGCUUCCAACGGAGGAUACAUCACAGUAUCCUACCCAGGAAAUGUUUUAAAGAUUUUGGAGUGACAUCACUGUGACCACGCCCACAAAGUACCUGAGCACUUUGUUUUUUUAAUUAAAUUAAUUAUUUAUUAAUGCAUUUAUUUUUAAAAUUGUUGAAUUGUGUAUGCGUAGGAAUAAUACAACUUUAAAUAAAAAAUAAAUUAAUAAUUAAUUAAUAUGAUAA